CCUACGGGCGGCAGCAGUGGGGAAUAUUGCACAAUGGGCGAAACCCUGAUGCAGCGACGCCGCGUGAGUGAAGAAGUAAUUAGUUAUGUAAAGCUCUAUCAGCAGGGAAGAAAAUGACGGUACCUGAGUAAGAAUCUCCGGCUAACUACGUGCCAGCAGCCGCGGCAAUACGGAGGCGGCCAGCGUUAUCCGGAUUUACUGGGUGUUAAGGGAGCUGAGACGGCAGUGCAAGUCUGGAGUGAAAGGCGGAGGCUCAACCUCCAGACUGCUCUGGAAACUGUACGGCUGGAGUGCAGGAGAGGUAAGUGGAAUUCCUAGUGUAGCGGUGAAAUGCGUAGAUAUUACGAGGAACACCAGUGGCGAAGGCAGCUUACUGGACUGUAACUGACGUUGAGGCUCGAAAGCGUGGGGAGCAAACAGGAUUAGAUACCCGUGUAGUC
rnacentral:rRNA from 1 species